rnacentral:rRNA from 1 species
AAAUUGAAGAGUUUGAUCAUGGCUCAGAUUGAACGCUGGCGGCAGGCCUAACACAUGCAAGUCGAGCGGAAACGAGUUAUCUGAACCUUCGGGGAACGAUAACGGCGUCGAGCGGCGGACGGGUGAGUAAUGCCUAGGAAAUUGCCCUGAUGUGGGGGAUAACCAUUGGAAACGAUGGCUAAUACCGCAUGAUGCCUACGGGCCAAAGAGGGGGACCUUCGGGCCUCUCGCGUCAGGAUAUGCCUAGGUGGGAUUAGCUAGUUGGUGAGGUAAGGGCUCACCAAGGCGACGAUCCCUAGCUGGUCUGAGAGGAUGAUCAGCCACACUGGAACUGAGACACGGUCCAGACUCCUACGGGAGGCAGCAGUGGGGAAUAUUGCACAAUGGGCGCAAGCCUGAUGCAGCCAUGCCGCGUGUGUGAAGAAGGCCUUCGGGUUGUAAAGCACUUUCAGUCGUGAGGAAGGUAAUGUAGUUAAUAGCUGCAUUAUUUGACGUUAGCGACAGAAGAAGCACCGGCUAACUCCGUGCCAGCAGCCGCGGUAAUACGGAGGGUGCGAGCGUUAAUCGGAAUUACUGGGCGUAAAGCGCAUGCAGGUGGUUUGUUAAGUCAGAUGUGAAAGCCCGGGGCUCAACCUCGGAAUUGCAUUUGAAACUGGCAGACUAGAGUACUGUAGAGGGGGUAGAAUUUCAGGUGUAGCGGUGAAAUGCGUAGAGAUCUGAAGGAAUACCGGUGGCGAAGGCGGCCCCCUGGACAGAUACUGACACUCAGAUGCGAAAGCGUGGGGAGCAAACAGGAUUAGAUACCCUGGUAGUCCACGCCGUAAACGAUGUCUACUUGGAGGUUGUGGCCUUGAGCCGUGGCUUUCGGAGCUAACGCGUUAAGUAGACCGCCUGGGGAGUACGGUCGCAAGAUUAAAACUCAAAUGAAUUGACGGGGGCCCGCACAAGCGGUGGAGCAUGUGGUUUAAUUCGAUGCAACGCGAAGAACCUUACCUACUCUUGACAUCCAGAGAACUUUCCAGAGAUGGAUUGGUGCCUUCGGGAACUCUGAGACAGGUGCUGCAUGGCUGUCGUCAGCUCGUGUUGUGAAAUGUUGGGUUAAGUCCCGCAACGAGCGCAACCCUUAUCCUUGUUUGCCAGCGAGUAAUGUCGGGAACUCCAGGGAGACUGCCGGUGAUAAACCGGAGGAAGGUGGGGACGACGUCAAGUCAUCAUGGCCCUUACGAGUAGGGCUACACACGUGCUACAAUGGCGCAUACAGAGGGCAGCCAACUUGCGAAAGUGAGCGAAUCCCAAAAAGUGCGUCGUAGUCCGGAUUGGAGUCUGCAACUCGACUCCAUGAAGUCGGAAUCGCUAGUAAUCGUGGAUCAGAAUGCCACGGUGAAUACGUUCCCGGGCCUUGUACACACCGCCCGUCACACCAUGGGAGUGGGCUGCAAAAGAAGUAGGUAGUUUAACCUUCGGGGGGACGCUUACCACUUUGUGGUUCAUGACUGGGGUGAAGUCGUAACAAGGUAGCGCUAGGGGAACCUGGCGCUGGAUCACCUCCUUA